UUUCUUUCUCUUCUGCAAAUUUGAUAUUACAACAUGAGCUGGUGGUGGGCUGGAGCUAUUGGUGCUGCUAAGAAAAAAUUCGAAGAUGAUGAAGCACCACCAAAGUAUGAAAGUGUUGCUCUAAUUAUAGGAGUCACCGGCAUCGUUGGUAAUAGCCUCGCCGAGAUCCUCCCUCUCGCUGACACUCCCGGUGGUCCAUGGAAGGUAUACGGCGUUGCACGACGGGCUAGGCCAUCGUGGAACGCCGAUCAUCCUAUUGAGUAUGUCCAAUGCGACAUAUCAAAUCCUGAGGAUACCCAAUCUAAACUAUCUGUUCUCACUGAUGUAACCCAUGUUUUCUAUGUGACUUGGGCUAAUAGAUCUACAGAGGUUGAAAAUUGUGAAAUCAAUGGAAAAAUGUUCAGGAAUGUUCUUAAUGUUAUUAUCCCUAAUUGUCCUAACUUGCGGCAUAUCUGUUUGCAAACGGGUCGGAAACAUUAUUUGGGUCCGUUUGAAUUGUAUGGAAAAGUAAGCCAUGAUCCUCCAUUUCAUGAGGAUUUACCCAGAUUAGAUGCCCCCAAUUUCUAUUAUGUUCUUGAGGAUAUUUUGUUUAAGGAGGUGGAGAAGAAGGAAGGGUUGACGUGGUCAGUUCAUCGGCCAGGGACCAUAUUUGGGUUUUCUCCUUAUAGUUUGAUGAAUAUUGUUGGAACACUCUGUGUUUAUGCAGCUAUAUGUAAACAUGAAGGGUUGCCAUUGAAGUUUCCUGGUGUUAAAGGAGCGUGGGAUGGAUACUCGGAUUGCUCUGAUGCGGAUUUGAUUGCCGAGCAUCAGAUAUGGGCUGCAGUGGAUCCUUAUGCCAAGAAUGAGGCGUUUAAUGUGAGCAAUGGGGAUGUUUUCAAGUGGAAGCAUUUCUGGAAGGUUUUGGGUGAGCAAUUUGGACUGGAAGCUGCGGAGUUUGAUGAAGGGAAGAGAUGCACAUUGGUAGAGAUGAUGAAAGACAAAGGCGCGGUUUGGGAUGAGAUUGUGAAGGAGAAUGGAUUGGUGCCUACUAAAUUGGAGGAGGUUGGAGUUUGGUGGUUUGUUGAUCUUAUCCUUUCUGGAGAUUGCGCUUUGGAUACUAUGAACAAGAGCAAGGAGCACGGUUUCUUGGGAUUCCGGAACUCACAAAAAGCCUUCAUUUCCUGGAUUGAUAAGGUGAAAGCUUACAAAGUUGUUCCUUAGUUUUGAUAUUCGUUUUUAUUUUUACUGUGUGAUAAAAUGCUUGAGUUUGUUUCCUGUCUAUCUAUCGAUUAUGUUGUUUAAUAAGAAGUAAUAAUAGCAAAAUGAAGCUAUUUCUAGCUUGAAACAAUGUACACUUUUGACUUCUUUGUUGUUGUGCUGUAAUUAUCCAUUUG
rnacentral:misc_RNA from 1 species